CCUACGGGAGGCAGCAGUGGGGAAUUUUGCGCAAUGGGGGAAACCCUGACGCAGCAACGCCGCGUGAGUGAUGAAGGCCUUCGGGUCGUAAAGCUCUGUCAGAGGGGAAGAAAUGCAGGGGUGCUAAUAUCAUCUUUGCUUGACGGUACCCUCAAAGGAAGCACCGGCUAACUCCGUGCCAGCAGCCGCGGUAAUACGGAGGGUGCGAGCGUUGUUCGGAAUUAUUGGGCGUAAAGCGCGUGUAGGCGGUUUGGUAAGUCUGAUGUGAAAGCCCCGGGCUCAACCUGGGAAGUGCAUUGGAAACUGUCAGACUUGAAUACGGGAGAGGGUAGUGGAAUUCCUAGUGUAGGAGUGAAAUCCGUAGAUAUUAGGAGGAACACCGGUGGCGAAGGCGGCUACCUGGACCGAUAUUGACGCUGAGACGCGAAAGCGUGGGGAGCAAACAGGAUUAGAUACCCUGGUAGUCCACGCCGUAAACGAUGAGUACUAGGUGUUGCGGGUAUUGACCCCUGCAGUGCCGCAGCUAACGCAUUAAG
rnacentral:rRNA from 1 species